UUGACAACCCUGGUGACUCAAGUCCAUUUUUUAUCCACACAACAGGUACAGCAGUGCACGCUUCCCCCUCUCUGUCAGCGUGCCUUUGGCCUGACAUAGAAGGGGUGAGGAGGGUGUUUAGUCUCCACAGCCAAUCAAUUCCUGGCCUUU
rnacentral:sRNA from 1 species